GAUACUGGAAGCCGGAGCUAAUACCGGAUAAUAUAUUGAACCGCAUGGUUCAAUAGUGAAAGACGGUUUUGCUGUCACUUAUAGAUGGAUCCGCGCCGCAUUAGCUAGUUGGUAAGGUAACGGCUUACCAAGGCAACGAUGCGUAGCCGACCUGAGAGGGUGAUCGGCCACACUGGAACUGAGACACGGUCCAGACUCCUACGGGAGGCAGCAGCU
rnacentral:rRNA from 1 species